rnacentral:rRNA from 1 species
AUGUACGCUGGCGGCGUGCCUAAUACAUGCAAGUCGAGCGAACAGAUGAGGAGCUUGCUCCUCUGACGUUAGCGGCGGACGGGUGAGUAACACGUGGAUAACCUACCUAUAAGACUGGGAUAACUUCGGGAAACCGGAGCUAAUACCGGAUAAUAUAUUGAACCGCAUGGUUCAAUAGUGAAAGACGGUUUUGCUGUCACUUAUAGAUGGAUCCGCGCCGCAUUAGCUAGUUGGUAAGGUAACGGCUUACCAAGGCAACGAUGCGUAGCCGACCUGAGAGGGUGAUCGGCCACACUGGAACUGAGACACGGUCCAGACUCCUACGGGAGGCAGCAGUAGGGAAUCUUCCGCAAUGGGCGAAAGCUUGACGGAGCAACGCCGCGUGAGUGAUGAAGGUCUUCGGAUCGUAAAACUCUGUUAUUAGGGAAGAACAAAUGUGUAAGUAACUAUGCACGUCUUGACGGUACCUAAUCAGAAAGCCACGGCUAACUACGUG